CGUGCGGGGGUCUGUGGGUAGCAAUAUUCGCAGACUCUAGCGGCGAAAGGGUGCGUAACACGUGGGCAAUCUGCCGUGAAGUUUGGAAUAACCCCGAGAAAUCGGGAUUAAUACCGGAUGUGAAUGUUUGAGGACAUCCUCGUUCAUUUAAAGCUGGGGACCGUAAGGCCUAGCGCUUCAUGAUGAGCCCGCGGCCUAUCAGCUUGUUGGUGAGGUAACGGCUCACCAAGGCGACGACGGGUAGCUGGUCUGAGAGGACGAUCAGCCACACUGGAACUGAGACACGGUCCAGACACCUACGGGUGGCAGCAGUCGAGAAUCUUUCACAAUGGGCGCAAGCCUGAUGGAGCGACGCCGCGUGGGGGAUGAAUGGCUUCGGUCCGUAAACCCCUGUCAUUUGUGAGCAAAGUUGUCAGCCUAAUAUGUUGAUAACCUGAUAGUAGCGAAAGAGGAAGGGACGGCUAACUCUGUGCCAGCAGCCGCGGUAAUACAGAGGUCCCAAGCGUUGUUCGGAUUCACUGGGCGUAAAGAGUGCGUAGGUGGUGAGGUAAGUUUGGUGUGAAAGCUCCGGGCUCAACCUGGAAAUGUCAUCGAAUACUAUCUUACUAGAGGAUCGGAGGGGAGACUGGAAUUCUCGGUGUAGCAGUGAAAUGCGUAGAUAUCGAGAGGAACACCAGUGGCGAAGGCGAGUCUCUGGACGAUUCCUGACACUGAGGCACGAAAGCUAGGGGAGCAAACAGGAUUAGAUACCCUGGUAGUCCUAGCCGUAAACGGUGCACGUUUGCUGUGGGCGGAAUCGACCCCGUCCGUGGCGUAGCUAACGCGUUAAACGUGCCGCCUGGGGAGUACGGUCGCAAGAUUAAAACUCAAAGAAAUUGACGGGGGCCUGCACAAGCGGUGGAGUAUGUGGCUUAAUUCGAUCAACGCGAAGAACCUUACCUGGCCUUGACAUGCAAGUAGUAGAAGCCUGAAAGGGUAACGACCCCGCAAGGGGAGCUUGCACAGGUGCUGCAUGGCUGUCGUCAGCUCGUGUCGUGAGAUGUUGGGUUAAGUCCCGCAACGAGCGCAACCCUCGUGUCCUGUUGCCACUUCUGCGAGAGCAGAAAGCACUCUGGACAGACUGCCUCGCUUAAACGGGGAGGAAGGUGGGGAUGACGUCAAGUCAGUAUGGCCCUUACGGCCAGGGCUGCACACGUACUACAAUGCCUGGUACAAUGGGAAGCAAGACCGCAAGGUGGAGCAAAUCCUUAAAACCGGGCUCAGCUCGGAUUGUCGUCUGCAACUCGACGGCAUGAAGUUGGAAUCGCUAGUAAUGGCGCAUCAGCUACGGCGCCGUGAAUACGUUCCCAGGCCUUGUACACACCGCCCGUCACAUCAUGAAAGCCGGCUGUACCCGAAGUCGCUGUGCUAACUGCAAAGAGGCAGGUGCCGAAGGUAUGGCUGGUGAUUGGGAUGAAGUCGUAACAAGGUA
rnacentral:rRNA from 1 species